AUUGAACGCUGGCGGCAUGCCUUACACAUGCAAGUCGAACGGCAGCACGGGAGCAAUCCUGGUGGCGAGUGGCGAACGGGUGAGUAAUACAUCGGAACGUGCCCAGUAGUGGGGGAUAACCCGGCGAAAGCCGGACUAAUACCGAAUACGACCUACGGGUGAACGCGGGGGAUCGCAAGACCUCGCGCUAUCGGAGCGGCCGAUGUCAGAUUAGCUAGUUGGUGGGGUAAAGGCCUACCAAGGCGACGAUCUGUAGCUGGUCUGAGAGGACGACCAGCCACACUGGGACUGAGACACGGCCCAGACUCCUACGGGAGGCAGCAGUGGGGAAUUUUGGGCAAUGGGCGCAAGCCUGAUCCAGCAAUGCCGCGUGCGGGAAGAAGGCCUUCGGGUUGUAAACCGCUUUUGUCAGGGAAGAAACGCUCCGGGCUAAUACCACGGAGUAAUGACGGUACCUGAAGAAUAAGCACCGGCUAACUACGUG
rnacentral:rRNA from 1 species